rnacentral:rRNA from 1 species
UAAGACGGAGGGCGCAAGCGUUGUUCGGAAUUACUGGGCGUAAAGCGCACGCAGGCGGUUUACUAAGUCCUUUGUGAAAGCCCGGGGCUCAACCCCGGAAUUGCAUCGGAUACUGGUAGACUGGAGACAGGUAGAGGCUAGCGGAAUUCCUGGUGUAGCGGUGGAAUGCGUAGAUAUCAGGAAGAACACCUGUGGCGAAGGCGGCUAGCUGGGCCUGUUCUGACGCUCAUGUGUGAAAGCGUGGGGAGCAAACAGGAUUAGAUACCCUGGUAGUCCACGCCGUAAACGAUGGGCACUAGAUGCCGGGCAUAUAGACGUGUUCGGUGUCGCAGCUAACGCAUUAAGUGCCCCGCCUGGGGAGUACGGUCGCAAGGCUG